rnacentral:rRNA from 1 species
UCCAGACUCCUACGGGAGGCAGCAGUGGGGAAUAUUGCACAAUGGGGGGAACCCUGAUGCAGCGACGCCGCGUGGGUGAAGGAGCACCUCGGUGCGUAAAGCCCUCUCGGCAGGGAAGAAAAGCGAACAGGUUCGCCUGGACGGUACCUGACUAAGAAGCCCCGGCUAACUACGUGCCAGCAGCCGCGGUAAUACGUAGGGGGCAAGCGUUAUCCGGAUUUACUGGGUGUAAAGGGAGCGUAGACGGCUUGGCAAGCCAGAUGUGAAAGGCUGGGGCUCAACCCCAGGACUGCAUUUGGAACUGUCAUGCUAGAGUGUCGGAGAGGCAGGCGGAAUUCCUAGUGUAGCGGUGAAAUGCGUAGAUAUUAGGAGGAACACCAGUGGCGAAGGCGUCUUACUGGACCGAAACUGACGUUGAGGCUCGAAAGCGUGGGGAGCAAACAGGAUUAGAUACCCGCGUAGG